AUUGAACGCUGGCGGCAGGCCUAACACAUGCAAGUCGAACGAGUGGCGGACGGGUGAGUAAUGUCUGUGAAACUGCCUGAUGGUGGGGGAUAACUACUGGAAACGGUAGCUAAUACCGCUUACCAUCAGAUGUUCCCAGAUGGGCUUAGCUAGUUGGUGGGGUAACGGCUCACCAGGGCGACGAUCCCUAGCUGGUCUGAGAGGAUGACCGGCCACACGGGAACGUGGAAACGGUCCAGACUCCUACGGGAGGGAGCAGUUGGGAAUAUUGGACAAUGGGCGCAAGCCUGAUGCAGCCAUGCCGCGUGUAUGAAGAAGGCCUUCGGGUUGUAAAGUACUUUCAGCGGGGAGGCGUUACCCGCAGAAGAAGCACCGGCUAACUCCGUGCCAGCAGCCGCGGUAAUAC
rnacentral:rRNA from 1 species